AUGAACGCUGGCGGCGUGCCUAAUACAUGCAAGUCGAGCGAACGGACGAGAAGCUUGCUUCUCUGAUGUUAGCGGCGGACGGGUGAGUAACACGUGGAUAACCUACCUAUAAGACUGGGAUAACUUCGGGAAACCGGAGCUAAUACCGGAUGAUAUUUUGAACCGCAUGGUUCAAAAGUGAAAGACGGUCUUGCUGUCACUUAUAGAUGGAUCCGCGCUGCAUUAGCUAGUUGGUAAGGUAACGGCUUACCAAGGCAACGAUGCAUAGCCGACCUGAGAGGGUGAUCGGCCACACUGGAACUGGGACACGGUCCAGAGGCCUAAGGGAGGGAGCAGUAGGGAAUCUUCCGCAAUGGGCGAAAGCCUGACGGAGCAACGCCGCGUGAGUGAUGAAGGUCUUCGGAUCGGAAAACUCUGUUAUUAGGGAAGAACAUAUGUGUAAGGAACUGUGCACAUCUUGACGGUACCUAAUCAGAAAGCCACGGCUAACUACGUG
rnacentral:rRNA from 1 species